rnacentral:rRNA from 1 species
GAUGAACGCUAGCGGGAGGCUUAACACAUGCAAGUCGAGGGGCAUCACGAGGUAGCAAUACGUUUGGUGGCGACCGGCGCACGGGUGAGUAACACGUAUGCAACCUACCCUGGUACAGGGGGAUAACCCGGAGAAAUUCGGACUAAUAUCCCAUACAAUUAUUGGAGGGCAUCCUUUGAUAAUUAAAGCUCAGGCGGUAUAGGAUGGGCAUGCGGAACAUUAGCUAGUUGGUAGGGUAACGGCCUACCAAGGCUACGAUGUUUAGGGGACCUGAGAGGGUUAUCCCCCACACUGGUACUGAGACACGGACCAGACUCCUACGGGAGGCAGCAGUGAGGAAUAUUGGUCAAUGGGCGCAAGCCUGAACCAGCCAUCCCGCGUGAAGGAAGAAGGCCCUAUGGGUUGUAAACUUCUUUUCCAGGGGGUGAAUAAUUCCGAUGUAUCGGGAGAUGACGGUACCCUGGGAAUAAGCAUCGGCUAACUCCGUG